rnacentral:rRNA from 1 species
ACCUACGGGGCGCAGCAGUGGGGAAUAUUGCACAAUGGGCGAAAGCCUGAUGCAGCGACGCCGCGUGAAGGAUGAAGUAUUUCGGUAUGUAAACUUCUAUCAGCAGGGAAGAAAAUGACGGUACCUGACUAAGAAGCCCCGGCUAACUACGUGCCAGCAGCCGCGGUAAUACGUAGGGGGCAAGCGUUAUCCGGAUUUACUGGGUGUAACGGUAGCGUAGACGGCGAUGCAAGCCAGAUGUGAAAGCCCGGGGCUCAACCCCG